GAAAUAAUUCACAACGCAAAACACAAGACUCUUAUCCUAGCUUAGUCACGUGACAAGAGCUACAAGAAACGUCAAACAACAAAUACGGUUGUGUGUGUGGAGCCAUCCUCAGCAGCAGCGAGUAGUUUCCAAGUGAUGAGAACUCCAACCAGAAGUAGGGCAUCAGGAUGGAUCAGGCAGGUCCGGAGAGCAGAAGGGCUCUCAAACAGUCUCCCUUUCCUCGCUGACCUGUGGAACAUGCAUCGAACUCAAUUUGUUCCUUUAACGUUAGAUAUGGCAUUGCCCUGUGAGAGCUUAACAAGAUGGAACAAGGACGGAAUAUCAAUUACACUCCAGCAAAAGAGCGAGAGAUUGACAAACAAAGGAACAUGAAGACAUAAUUGACUUAAAGAGGUGUGCCUGAUGUUGUCUAACAACUGAAUAAGUAUUUUUAGAAGAUCUGUGGCUGUGUAACAUCCAUAAACAUACACUGAGAGGCAAAUUCAAGCAAUGGGCUCAUUUAAAAUGAGAAAUAAACUAAAUUAAAAUGAGAAAUGAGCAAGGAAGAGAUAGAAAUGAAUUAAGAAUUAGAAUGAAUUAAACAUUUUUUAGAUUAGGCACUUAGGCACUGUUAAAAUGAUUGACAGUAAUUCACAUCCUGCUAUACUGUAUGGGAUGUACGCUGAGGACCUCAAUUUUCAGUCAAGAUAGCAAGAGGAAAAGAUCUAAGUGACUUUGAAAGAGAGUUCAUUAUUGGGGCAGAGACAUCAAGAGCUUCAGUCAUAAAGACGGCUUAGCUGGCUGUGUUUCAGUAGGAACAGUGACUAACGUGACAUUGGCAUUUAAAUCUAUGGGAAACGUAUAUUUUUGGAAGGUGGGAGAAAACUGGAGAAUCCAUAGGAAACCCACACAGACACAGGGAACACACGCAAAACUCCACAUAGACAGUAACCCGAGCUCAGGAUCGAACCGGAAACCCUGGAGCUUGUUUCACAGUUCCAUAACCUUAACAAAAUUACUGAAGUUUCCCUUAACUAACAUAAUUACUUCACUGGUUAACACUAACAAGCCAUUAAUUUCAGGAUUAAUAAACCACAAGGAAUGUUAGCAUUCAAAGUAACAUGUAUUAAUUGACCUGCAUUGAUUGUUUAAUCAAUUCAUGAUGAAAAACAAAUCUGCAUAAAUGAGCAAAAAUUCAAUUAGAGCAUGUUCGUAAAAUAUGGUGGCAAAGCAUGUAGCACUACUGCGUCACAGGUCCAGGGUUUCACUGUUCAAACCUGAACUCAGCUUACUAUCUAUGCAGUGUUUCACAAGUUCUUCACUGGGUUUCCUCUGGGUUCUCUGGUUUCCUCCCACCUCCCAAAAAACAUGUCAUUAGGCGAGUCUAGCUGUGAAUUAUUUUGUGAAUGUGUGUGCAUGGUGCCAUUGAGUAUACAGACAUUCCAGCCAAGGUGUAUUCUUGCCUCACACCCAUUGUUCCCAGUAUAGGCUCUGGAUCCAACAAUAAAUGCUUCUAAAUGCUCCUAA